rnacentral:lncRNA from 10 species
GUGAUGCGAGAGAGGUUUUCCCAAAAUCUUGAAGAAACAAGAACUACUACUUGCCUUGCUCAUGUGUUCCUUAGCCUUAUAUGUCAGUGAGCCCUUGCGAUCACCCACCUAGCUGGUGAAACCCAGUGGGAGCAGGAGGAGGUGGAAGGUGAGCUGGACCGAAGUCAAAAGCAGGGGAUAAAGAUAUUUGAGGACUGUCUGCAAUUUAAAUGUGCACAGAAUGAGACUCAGAAAGGUGGAGACUCCCAGUAAAGGAUGACAGAGGGCACAGAAGCCACCAGCAGAUUCUUUGGAAGGAAGUAACAGGAGUGGAACUUCAUUUUCCCAUGGAUUGUAAAGGGCUGGGCUCCCUUCCACCUCUUCUCACUGGCCUCCUGUUUGUACCCCUGACCUCUCCGGGAUCUGGAUCCCAACACUGUCUUCUGCAAUGAAAACCCUGAUUUUCUAUAUCUGGACAAAAGACUAGGACAUAACGAGAAUUUUAGCGGAAGGAACUGAGGGAGAGAGAUUGCACAGCAGACAAGGACAAAUAAAGGGAAGGUGGAAACAAGGGU